ensembl:snRNA U6 U6 spliceosomal RNA
GUGCUCACGUCAGCAGCACAUAUACUAAAAUUGGAACGAUACAGAGAAGAUAAGCAUGACCCCUGCGCAAGGAUGACAAGAAAAUUCGUGAAGCAUUCAAUAUUUUA